AAUGGCAUUGUUUUUUUUAAUACUAAAAUUGGAACGAAACAGAUAUUAGCAUGGCCCCUGCACAAGGAUGACAUGCAGGUUUGUGAUGCGGUCCAUAUCUUU
ensembl:snRNA U6 U6 spliceosomal RNA